UCAGAACGAACGCUGGCGGCAGGCCUAACACAUGCAAGUCGAGCGCUACCUUCGGGUGGAGCGGCGGACGGGUUAGUAACGCGUGGGAACGUACCCAGAUCUAAGGAAUAGCCACUGGAAACGGUGAGUAAUACCUUAUACGCUUCGGGGGAAAGAUUUAUCGGAUUUGGAUCGGCCCGCGUUAGAUUAGAUAGUUGGUGGGGUAAUGGCCUACCAAGUCUACGAUCUAUAGCUGGUUUUAGAGGAUGAUCAGCAACACUGGGACUGAGACACGGCCCAGACUCUACGGGAGGCAGCAGUGGGGAAUCUUGGACAAUGGGCGCAAGCCUGAUCCAGCCAUGCCGCGUGAGUGAUGAAGGCCUUAGGGUCGUAAAGCUCUUUCGCCAGAGAUGAUAAUGACAGUAUCUGGUAAAGAAACCCCGGCUAACUCCGUGCCAGCAGCCGCGGUAAUACGGAGGGGGUUAGCGUUGUUCGGAAUUACUGGGCGUAAAGCGUACGUAGGCGGAUUAGUCAGUCAGAGGUGAAAUCCCAGGGCUCAACCCUGGAACUGCCUUUGAUACUGCUAGUCUUGAGUUCGAGAGAGGUGAGUGGAAUUCCAAGUGUAGAGGUGAAAUUCGUAGAUAUUUGGAGGAACACCAGUGGCGAAGGCGGCUCACUGGCUCGAUACUGACGCUGAGGUACGAAAGUGUGGGGAGCAAACAGGAUUAGAUACCCUGGUAGUCCACACCGUAAACGAUGAAUGCCAGUCGUCGGGCAGUAUACUGUUCGGUGACACACCUAACGGAUUAAGCAUUCCGCCUGGGGAGUACGGUCGCAAGAUUAAAACUCAAAGGAAUUGACGGGGGCCCGCACAAGCGGUGGAGCAUGUGGUUUAAUUCGAAGCAACGCGCAGAACCUUACCAACCCUUGACAUCCUAUGACAACCUGAGAGAUCAGGCUUUCCUUCGGGACAUAGUGACAGGUGCUGCAUGGCUGUCGUCAGCUCGUGUCGUGAGAUGUUCGGUUAAGUCCGGCAACGAGCGCAACCCACAUCCCUAGUUGCCAGCAGUUCGGCUGGGCACUCUAUGGAAACUGCCCGUGAUAAGCGGGAGGAAGGUGUGGAUGACGUCAAGUCCUCAUGGCCCUUACGGGUUGGGCUACACACGUGCUACAAUGGCAACUACAGUGAGUUAAUCUCCAAAAGUUGUCUCAGUUCGGAUUGGGGUCUGCAACUCGACCCCAUGAAGUCGGAAUCGCUAGUAAUCGCGUAACAGCAUGACGCGGUGAAUACGUUCCCGGGCCUUGUACACACCGCCCGUCACACCAUGGGAGUUGGUUCUACCCGACGGCCGUGCGCUAACC
rnacentral:rRNA from 1 species